rnacentral:rRNA from 3 species
CAGGUGCUGCAUGGCUGUCGUCAGCUCGUGUUGUGAAAUGUUGGGUUAAGUCCCGCAACGAGCGCAACCCUUAUCCUUUGUUGCCAGCGAUUAGGUCGGGAACUCAAAGGAGACUGCCAGUGAUAAACUGGAGGAAGGUGGGGAUGACGUCAAGUCAUCAUGGCCCUUACGACCAGGGCUACACACGUGCUACAAUGGCGCAUACAAAGAGAAGCGACCUCGCGAGAGCAAGCGGACCUCAUAAAGUGCGUCGUAGUCCGGAUUGGAGUCUGCAACUCGACUCCAUGAAGUCGGAAUCGCUAGUAAUCGUGGAUCAGAAUGCCACGGUGAAUACGUUCCCGGGCCUUGUACACACCGCCCGUCACACCAUGGGAGUGGGUUGCAAAAGAAGUAGGUAGCUUAACCUUCGGGAGGGCGCUUACCACUUUGUGAUUCAUGACUGGGGUGAAGUCGUAACAAGGUAACCGUAGGGGAACCUGCGGUUGGAUCACCUCCUU